GACAGAGGGUGCAAACGUUGUUCGGAAUUACUGGGCGUAAAGCGCGUGUAGGCUGCUUGGAAAGUCGGAUGUGAAAGCCCGGGGCUCACCCCCGGAAGUGCAUUGGAUACUGGGAAGCUGGAGUACCGGAGAGGAGGGUGGAAUUCCUGGUGUAGCGGUGAAAUGCGUAGAUAUCGGGAGGAACAUCAGUGGCGAAGGCGGCUACCUGGCCCAAUACUGACACUCAGGUGCGACAGCGUGGGGAGCAAACAGG
rnacentral:rRNA from 1 species